rnacentral:rRNA from 1 species
AUUGAACGCUGGCGGCAUGCUUUACACAUGCAAGUCGAACGGCAGCGCGGGCUUCGGCCUGGCGGCGAGUGGCGAACGGGUGAGUAAUGCAUCGGAACGUGCCCAGUAGUGGGGGCUAGCCCGGCGAAAGCCGGAUUAAUACCGCAUACGACCUGAGGGUGAAAGCGGGGGACCGAAAGGCCUCGCGCUAUUGGAGCGGCCGAUGUCGGAUUAGCUAGUUGGUGGGGUAAAGGCUUACCAAGGCGACGAUCCGUAGCUGGUAUGAGAGGACGACCCGCCACAUUGGGACUGAGACACGGCCCAGACUCCUACGGGAGGCAGCAGUGGGGAAUUUUGGACAAUGGGGGCAAGCCUGAUCCAGCCAUGCCGCGUGCGGGAAGAAGGCCUUCGGGUUGUAAAACGCUUUUGUUCGGGAAGAAGGACUAUGGGCUAAUACCCCGGGGGGAUGGCGGUACCGGAAGAAUAAGCACCGGCUAACUACGUG